GACGAACCGUGCGAACGUUAUUCGGAAUCACUGGGCUUAAAGGGUGCGUAGGCGGGUUGCCAAGUCUGUGGUGAAAUCCUCCAGCUUAACUGGAGAACUGCCGUGGAUACUGGCGACCUCGAGGGGUGUAGGGGCUUGCGGAACUGUGCGUGGAGCGGUGAAAUGCGUUGAUAUGCACAGGAACUCCGGUGGCGAAAGCGGCGAGCUGGACACCUUCUGACGCUGAGGCACGAAAGCUAGGGGAGCAAACGGA
rnacentral:rRNA from 1 species